GUACUUGCUUCGGCAGCACAUAGACUAAAAUCGGAACGAUAUAGAGAAGAUUAGCUGGCCCUGCACAGGGCUGACACGCAAGUUCAUGAAGCAUUUCGUAUUUUU